CCCUUAGACACUCUAGGCGGCACGCGCGCUACAAUGGGUGGAAGAACGUGUUACUGCCUCCGAAAGGAGGGGUGAAUCACGAAUUCUUGCCCGUGAAUGGGAUAGUUUGUUGCAAUUUUCGGACUUGAACUAGGAAUCCCUUGUAAACAUGCUCAAGAAUAGCGUGUUGAAUACGUCCCUGCCGUUUGUACACACCGCCCGUCGUUUCUUCCGACUGAUACUCAUUGUGAGUUGCAAGGACCCUUUAUUGGGAAAUUGCUGCAAAUGCUUUGUAUUGGAGGAAGAAAAGGUCGUAACA
rnacentral:rRNA from 1 species